CACGUAUGCAACCUACCUUCAACUGGGGGAUAGCCUUCCGAAAGGGAGAUUAAUACCGCAUAAUAUAAUGAAACGGCAUCGUUUUAUUAUCAAACGUCAGGGUUGAAGAUGGGCAUGCGUCCGAUUAGCUAGUUGGUGUGGUAACGGCACACCAAGGCGACGAUCGGUAGGGGAUCUGAGAGGAUGACCCCCCACACUGGUACUGAGACACGGACCAGACUCCUACGGGAGGCAGCAGUAAGGAAUAUUGGUCAAUGGACGAAAGUCUGAACCAGCCAUGCCGCGUGCAGGAAGACGGUCCUCUGGAUUGUAAACUGCUUUUGUUAGGGAAGAAACCCUCGGAUGCGUCCGAGGCUGACGGUACCUAAAGAAUAAGGAUCGGCUAACUCCGUGCCAGCAGCCGCGGUAAUACGGAGGAUCCAAGCGUUAUCCGGAUUUAUUGGGUUUAAAGGGUGCGUAGGCGGCGUUGUAAGUCAGUGGUGAAAGUUUGCAGCUUAACUGUAAAAUUGCCAUUGAUACUGCAGUGCUUGAGUACAGAUGAGGUGGGCGGAAUGUGUCAUGUAGCGGUGAAAUGCAUAGAUAUGACACAGAACACCGAUUGCGAAGGCAGCUCACUAAACUGUAACUGACGCUGANGCACGAAAGCGUGGGGAUCAAACAGGAUUAGAUACCCUGGUAGUCCACGCCCUAAACGAUGAUUACUCGAUGUUAGCGAUAUACAGUUAGCGUCAAAGCGAAAGCGUUAAGUAAUCCACCUGGGGAGUACGC
rnacentral:rRNA from 1 species